CCGUCAUAGUUUUCAUAUGUUUUUCAUCUAUUGCGUAUUCUUCUUUAUUCAUUUAUAAAUUUGUGUUGUAGUUUAUAUUCUAAGUUUUCUAUUUGUAUUUGUAGAUAUAAAAUAGUUUUUCUCUGUGCUACUAUAGAUUUUUUACAAAUUCCUGCAAAUAUAUUACUGUUAAGUCUAUUUUGCCUAUGUCUCAAUUCUUGUCUUUUUGCUAUAAUUAUUUCAGUAAGUUUUUGUCUAUAUUCGUUAUUC
rnacentral:lncRNA from 1 species